AGAGUAAAAAGUCAAAACACAAGCACAAGAAGAAGAGCAAGAAGAAGAGAAGAUGGAGGGAUGAAGGGGAGGACAGUGGGAGUGAGAGAGAGAGCAGUGAAGAGAGUGGAGAUGAAGUCAAGAGUGACUUGUUAAAUGACCACCUUCUUCACAGGGUGAGGAGUCUGCGCCAUCACAUCACCCCAGCUGACUUGUAAAGACUGUCCAGCUGUCCUGAGCUGUCCCACUGGUGACUGCACCUGUGCUGUCCCACUGAUGAUUGCACCUGUGCUGUCCCACUGAUGAUUACACCUGUGCUGUCCCACUGAUGAUUGCACCUGUGCUGUCCCACUGAUGAUUGCACCUGUGCUGUCCCACUGAUGAUUGCACCUGUGCUGUCCCACUGAUGAUUGCACCUGUGCUGUCCCACUGAUGAUUGCACCUGUGCUGUCCCACUGAUGAUUGCACCUGUGCUGCUGAAGUGGACCUGUCAUUGCCCGAUUCUGAACUCUAAAGCCACGGCAAUUCAAUUACGUGAUGUCCUCAAUCUACACUACACAUAAAACCUUAUCUGAAUGCCAAUGCCGCAUGCCAGGCAGCCAUAACUGGUUCUAGUUCUAGUACAUGUAUGUGUUUUUCCUUGUACAAAUAUCUGAAUAAAUUGAUAUGUAUGCAAAGUUUAUCAUUGUCUUGACUACUUAUUCACCUGUUGGUUGUACAUUUUAAAAGAAAUGGAGUCUCCCAGUGAGCAGAAUUAAAUUAAAAGUUCAAUGAGCUAUCUUGUGUAAGACAGAAGACAAACCAAGGAAUAAAUUCAGCAAAAACCAGGUAAAAGGUAAUAACCAAAACAUGCUUGUGUAACGAAUGUGCCCAAAGUAAUCCGUUUAUUUUCAUGGUUUACUGUUCACAGAAGAUAUUACACCAAUAAGUUAUGAUAUUCUAGAAUUUACUAAAACAGUUGCUAAUGAUUUUUAGGACAAAUUUAUAUUAUAUACAUGUACUUCUGCAGCAUCCUUUUAUUUCUUUUACAGGCCCUCUCCAUAAUGACUUAUAGUAUGGAUUUUAUUGGUUUGCAUCAUUUGUUGACCAUACUUACUUUUAUGUAUAUUUUGUAUGCAAAUAUGGGUAAGAUUUGAUAUAUUGUAGGCCUGAAAACAAAGUACACCCUUGUUUUUGUAAUCACAGUAAAUUCAACUAAGCACAUUACAAGCUACAUGUACAUAGUUCAUAAGAUUGCAAUACAUGUACAUCUAAUACAUCAUCAUGUCAAAUAUUCUGUGUUCUACCACAUUUGUUGUUCUAAAUGGCCUGUAAGACCAUUUUCCAUAUAUCAUCUACCCUACACAUCUUCUGUAGGCUCUGAAUGAUUUUU